UGUAACUUAUAAAAUGGCUCCAUGUGUAUUUUUAGCAAAUAACAGAGUAUUAGGUUUUCUUCAAUUCAGAUUUUGAGUGAUAUCUUCUUCCUGAUUCUCUUCACGCGCAAAUCUAGCUAGAGGUAUGCUUUCAAUCAAUUUUGUACAUAUCUUUUUUCUACUUUUUCCUUUGUAUUUUGGGUUUCUUCUAGGUUCUCUUCAUCAUUGUUAGUUUCGAUUCUGAAGUUCAGUGAUUGUUGUAGGUUCUUUUCCCAUGUUUUGCUAUGAUUUUUCUCAGAUCCUUUUUUCUUCUUUUAAUUUCUGCUCUAUCUUCUUUUAGGUUUUCUAAUUUUUAACUUUGCAAUCUUAUGGCAAGUGUGUGUUAAAUCGAGUGGUAAAACUGUAUUUUUAAACUCUAAGCAUGCUGACUAUUGGACUUUGUCUUCAACGUCUUUAUCUAGCAUUCCUCACAAAUUCUCUCAGUUAGAUCAAACUCAACGACCUGCCUCUACAGUUUCUUUUUUCAUAUUCUAAUAUUGUCUCAACUUCUCCUCCGUUUUUCGUUAAUUGCAGUCUUCUCUGUUGCACUGCUCAAUUUACGUACAAUUAUACGGUCAGUUCUGUUUUGUCUGGCUUUUUCCUUUAACUAUCCAAACUAUUUUUGGGGGUGAGGUUGGAACAACGAUUGGUUGUUUUGGAAAAGGAUCUGUAUUUAUUUAUGUGCAUAUCUUUUUUAAAUGAGGAAUACAAACAUAUUUUCUAUAUGAAAUUUUGGAAUGUCUUUACUGGUUUGGUACCAUGCCUGGUUGGGGUAAUUAAGAAGCUUUUAGACCCGGUUGACUUUGGCUGACCAAAAUGACUUUUUUCUUCGUUUAUCCAACCUUUUCUGAAUAUCAGUGUUAUCUAGAUUUAAGAUUGUGUUGGUUUCUACUGUGAAGAAUGUCUCCUUAUGAUGUUUUGAAUCUUCCAUGGAAGAUUAGCUUGCUUUCAAUUGGUGAUAUGUUACGCCUCUAUUUUUCGUGCUUCGUUUCGCUUCGCGCUUCUCGUGAUUUAAUCUUAAUUUUCAUAUGUUUCAACUCUUUUAAAGUGCAAUAAGAAUGAAUUUAAGUUUAUGAUUUAGACACUACAUCCAGACUUGCAUUAGAGGUAUUUGAGAAAUUGCCGAUGAGAAAGAAGGGGUAAAGUAUUUGAGAAUGGCGAGGAGAGUUGAGAAAUUUCACUGUUUUGAAAUUGCCACCGCCCGAGCCUAAGAAACCUAAGACCAUUAAUGUCAAGCUUGCUUAAAAUAGGGGAAAUAUAGACAAAUUAAGUUUGGUUCUAUGGGUAUUAAUUUGGACCUCGGAGAGGUUAGAAAUACUGUUUUAUAGUAGUGCUUAUGAUGUUUUUUGGACUGUUUUGUGCUGUGUGUAAGACCUUUUGGUCUAUGAACUGUGAACAUUAUGAAUAAAUUUCCUUGAAUUUACUGGAGUUUUUGCAUCUACAGGAAAAAAAUUAAAGCCACUAACAUGUAAAAGGAACAAUUCUGUAGUAUAUCUCCUAAAGAUUUUAAAUGUUCUUGUUGUAUAAAUCUAAGGAAAUGGAGAUUGAAACUGAUAAGAAAUAGAUUAAUGUUGUUGAAUGGCAUAACAUAUGCAAGAUUCACAGACUAUUGAAAAGAAACAACAGCAGACUCAUUCACAACUUUGCUCAAAUAAUGAUGAAGUUGGUUAAAAGGAGACAAAAAGGAAUAUAAAUAGUGUCUACUUCUUUCUCACUUGCUUCCAUAUUUACAUUCUCAUCUUAAACUAUUGGGCUAGGUUAUAAAUAUUUGUGUUGCAGAUCACUUUGUGUAAAGACAAACGAAUAUUAUGUUCGGAUCCUACAACUUCUUCAAUUAUAGUAUUCAAUUCAACAUGGUUCAUUUUAAUCUCUAUUUUUGUUCCUUUUUAACACUGAAAUAAUUGAGCAGCUUAAUGAAAAAACCUAAAGCCUAGAAAAUGAUAUAUGAUAAGUUAUUAUACCUUUUAAUUUUUUGGCAUGUAUUAAUUGCUCAUAUAUGUUAUUUUUGGUCUUUGUUUCUGCCUCAAUAGUGAAGGAAAAAGAAUCAUUUGUGAUGCUACUUUUUAAAAGCUCAAGGCUUCUCCAUAAGCUGAUAUAAAUUGUGGGUAUCUCUUGCAGUUUGUACGUCAACUGAAAGGCUGUUUUUCUGACGUUUGAGCUUGAUCGACAAGCUGUCACCACUUCAAAUUGAAGCUCUUGGUUUUGCUCUCCGAGAAUCACUAAAAACUUGACACUCAUGAAAACGAAGGUCUCUCCAUUCUGAAUUCCUUAUCUAUUGCAAUUUACGCCAUAUCUCAAGGUAAUUUGUCUUUUCAUAUUUCAUUUGUUGUCUUAGUUAUGUAACUGCUACUGAAGGUGCAGAAAUACCAAGGUGUAACUUAGCAAAAUCUGCAGAUACCAAUAUCUCCAAAAUCUAUUAGUUUACAUUGAUUCUUUAUCGUAUUUGGUGGUAGAUGCUUAAAUUUGUUUUAAAGUUCUUAUGGAACAUCAGAAGACCAUAUGUGUAUUAUUUUGUAUUUCUAUUCACAACUUUGGAGAUUAAAAACACCCCCGUUUCAAAUGUUUACAGAGUAACACCUUUCUUAUACACUUACUUGCAUGUGCUUUCUGUUGACAUGAAGGAAAUAAAAUCUCUCUCCGGUGCAUUUAUCUAAGCUCGCUUUCUUUUCUUUGUUUCUUUUUCUCUGAAGAUUCAAAAGAACAUUAGAAUUUAUGGUAUAUUAUGCUCAUUAGUAAACAAAGAUAGACAAUGUUUGAAAAGGUAUGUAAAUUACAAAUAAAAUCUGCAAAA
rnacentral:lncRNA from 1 species